rnacentral:rRNA from 1 species
AUUGAACGCUGGCGGCAGGCUUAACACAUGCAAGUCGAGCGAGCGGCGGACGGGUGAGUAAUGUCUGGGAAACUGCCUGAUGGAGGGGGAUAACUACUGGCAACGGUAGCUAAUACCGCAUACCAUCAGAUGUGCCCAGAUGGGAUUAGCUAGUGGGUGGGGUAAUGGCUCACCUAGGCGACGAUCCCUAGCUGGUCUGAGAGGAUGACCAGCCACACGGGAACUGAGACAAGGGCCAGAAGCCUACGGGAGGCAGCAGUGGGGAAUAUUGGACAAUGGGAUGAAGCCGGAUGCAGACAUGCCGCGGGUGGGAAGAAGGCCUUCGGGUUGUAAAGCACUGUCAGCGAGGAGGCGUUACUCGCAGAAGAAGCACCGGCUAACUCCGUGCCAGCCGCCGCGGUAAUUC